rnacentral:lncRNA from 1 species
UCAUUUUGUGGCUUGCCUUAGAGAAUGCAUGGUUUAUGUACUUUAUGUGAAUCCAAUUAGAAGGGCUGAAUUAAAAUAUUUAUUUUAUUUUAUAUCUUUCUCGCAUGUCUAAAUCACUUUUUUUUCUAAAAACUACCUUUGAAAAGGGUCGUGUUGCAAAAUGGAGGGUCAAAUCGUAAAUAAGCACAUUGAAAAGAAAAAUCUAGUUAAUACCUGUUAUCUCCCUAUCGUCUAUCCUCCUGUCAUUCCAUCCCUGAGAUCUCUGAAAUCGAUUGG